rnacentral:rRNA from 1 species
GUCUAUGGCCAUACUACCCUGAAUGCCCCCAAUCUCAUCUGAUUUUAGAAGCUAAGCCGAGUCGGGCUUGGUUAGUACUUGGAUGGGAGACAACACCCUCAACCUGUGGACAUGGAAG